GACAGAGGGUGCAAACGUUGCUCGGAAUCACUGGGCGUAAAGGGCGUGUAGGCGGGAAGGAAAGUCAGAUGUGAAAUCCCUGGGCUCAACCCCAGGAACUGCAUUUGAAACUCCCCUUUCUUGAGUGUCGGAGAGGAAAGUGGGAAUUCCUGGUGUAGAGGUGAAAUUCGUAGAUAUCAGGAGGAACACCGGUGGCGAAGGCG
rnacentral:rRNA from 1 species